CUGGCGGUAUGCUUAACACAUGCAAGUCGAACGAGACGAGAUGGAAGGAUCCUCGGGUGACGGAAAUCUUAGAAAGUGGCGAACGGGUGAGUAACGCGUGGGUAACCUGCCCUAUGGAAAGGAAUAGCCUCGGGAAACUGGGAGUAAUGCCUUAUAAUACAUUGAAGUCGCAUGGCUUUGAUGUUAAACGCUCCGGUGCCAUAGGAUGGACCCGCGUCCCAUUAGCUAGUUGGUGAGAUAACAGCCACCAAGGCGACGAUGGGUAACCGGUCUGAGAGGGCGAACGGUCACACUGGAACUGAGACACGGUCCAGACUCCUACGGGAGGCAGCAGUGGGGAAUAUUGCGCAAUGGGGGGAAACCCUGACGCAGCAAUACCGCGUGAGUGAAGAAGGUUUUCGGAUCGUAAAGCUCUGUUAUUGGGGAAGAAAAAAGACGGUACCCAAGAAGAAAGUCCCGGCUAACUACGUGCCAGCAGCAGC
rnacentral:rRNA from 1 species